GAAAGAAGGAAAUGAAAGAAUUGAAGAUUUCUGCUUGGCUUUGAGAAAGUACAGGGAUGUAAAGAUAUUCUCUUUCUAAAAUGAAAGCUUUGAUAAGUGAAACACAGAACGUGAGACUCUCUGGGACAGAGGAGGAAACUGGAAAGAACUUUAGAAAAUGGAUCAAAUCCUUGAUGAGCUUCAACAUCCUUCCAUGGGAGAGCAGAGACUGGCUCUUAACAAAAAGUUGGGCUGUUUUUUACCAAGGAUAUCACUUAUCAAGAGCUUGGAGAAAUACCAGUCCUGACAAGAAUUUGUAUUCUGACUUUCCAGUCCUUUCAACUACUUCUUAUGUGCCUAGAUUUCAAGCCCUGCAUGCUAAUGAAACCUGACUGAAGCAGUACAGGUGCAUCAUUGAAGAAAGAACUAAAAGCGCAAAUGGAACUUCCACGGAUAUAAGCCAAACCAAGUGUGAAAGGAGAAG